GUCUGCAACUCGACUACAUGAAGCUGGAAUCGCUAGUAAUCGCGAAUCAGAAUGUCGCGGUGAAUACGUUCCCGGGUCUUGUACACACCGCCCGUCACACCAUGGGAGUCGGAAAUGCCCGAAGUCAGUGACCUAACCGAAAGGGAGGAGCUGCCGAAGGUGGAGCCGGUAACUGGGGUGAAGUCGUAACAAGGUAUC
rnacentral:rRNA from 1 species